ACAUGUAGAAUAGAUCUCUGGGCUUGUCAUGAGGGGCAGAGGUGCAGUGGGGACGAAGGCAGCCAGUCCUUGUGGAACACUGGGCAGCUGGAGAGCAAAAAGAUUUUGAAAAGAUAAAAACAUGAGCAAAGUAAAUAGCCUUGGCCCUUGGAGGUAGUGGUGAGCAAUUAUUGGAAUUCAAGAAGAGACGAAGAAGAUAAUAUACACAUCUGGGAAGCUAGGAGAAUAAAACACGCAUUCUGAGGUUUUAUGACAGAGCAACAUUAUGAAGAGGUACCACUAUUACUCCCAUUUUACAGAUGAAGAAACUGAAGGAUAAAAGACUUUAAGUUGCCUAAGACGCAGCCAGAAGUGGAUUCAACCUCAGCCCCCAUGUUUAAUCAC